UACGUAGGGUGCGAGCGUUAAUCGGAAUUACUGGGCGUAAAGCGUGCGUAGGCGGUUCGUUAAGUUCGUUGUGAAAGCCCCGGGCUCAACCUGGGAAUGGCAAUGGAAACUGGCGGGCUGGAGUGCGGCAGAGGGGGGUGGAAUUCCAGGUGUAGCAGUGAAAUGCGUAGAGAUCUGGAGGAACACCGAUGGCGAAGGCAGCCCCCUGGGCUAACACUGACGCUCAUGCACGAAAGCGUGGGGAGCAAACAGG
rnacentral:rRNA from 1 species